rnacentral:misc_RNA from 1 species
UCUCCGUAGGUGAACCUGCGGAGGGAUCAUUACUGAGUGAGGGUCCUUGUGGCCCGACCUCCAACCCCCUGUCUUCCGACUCUGUUGCCUCGGGGGCGACCCGGCCCUCUGGGCGUCGGGGCCCCCGGUGGCUCACACCUCAACUCUUGCAUCUGUGCGUCUGAGUCGAAAUAUAAAUCAAUCAAAACUUUCAACAACGGAUCUCUUGGUUCUGGCAUCGAUGAAGAACGCAGC